rnacentral:tRNA from 1 species
GGGGUCGUAGCUUAGUCUGGCUUAAAGCGCAGGCCUGUCACGCCUGAGAUCGGGGGUUCAAAUCCCCUCGACCCCGCCA